UACGAAGGGGGCUAGCGUUGCUCGGAAUUACUGGGCGUAAAGCGCACGUAGGCGGCUUUCUAAGUCGGGGGUGAAAUCCUGGAGCUCAACUCCAGAACUGCCUUCGAUACUGGAGAGCUUGAGUCCGGGAGAGGUGAGUGGAACUGCGAGUGUAGAGGUGAAAUUCGUAGAUAUUCGCAAGAACACCAGUGGCGAAGGCGGCUCACUGGCCCGGUACUGACGCUGAGGUGCGAAAGCAUGGGGAGCAAACAGGG
rnacentral:rRNA from 1 species